rnacentral:rRNA from 1 species
ACGGAGGGUGCGAACGUUAAUCGGAAUUACUGGGCGUAAAGCGCGCGUAGGCGGUUUGUUAAGUGGGAUGUGAAAGCCCUGGGCUCAACCUGGGAACUGCAUUCCAAACUGGCAAACUAGAGUUCAGUAGAGGGAGGUGGAAUUUCCUGUGUAGCGGUGGAAUGCGUAGAUAUAGGAAGGAACACCAGUGGCGAAGGCGGCCUUCUGGACUGAAACUGACGCUCAAGUGCGAAAGCGUGGGGAGCAAACAGG